GAAAGGAGGAAUCCGGUGGCGGCUGGGCAUGCGGCGCAUUAGCUUGACGGCGGGGUAACGGCCCACCGUGGCGACGAUGCGUAGGGGUUCUGAGAGGAAGGCCCCCCACACUGGAACUGAGACACGGUCCAGACUCCUACGGGAGGCAGCAGUGAGGAAUAUUGGUCAAUGGGCGGAAGCCUGAACCAGCCAAGUCGCGUGAGGGAAUAAGGCCCUACGGGUCGUAAACCUCUUUUGCCGGGGAGCAAGGGCCGGGACGCGUCCCGGCCCGGAGAGUACCCGGAGAAAAAGCAUCGGCUAACUCCGUGCCAGCAGCCGCGGUAAUACGGAGGAUGCGAGCGUUAUCCGGAUUUAUUGGGUUUAAAGGGUGCGUAGGCGGGCUUUUAAGUCAGCGGUAAAAAUUCGGGGCUCAACCCCGUCCGGCCGUUGAAACUGGGGGUCUUGAGUGGGCGAGAAGAAGGCGGAAUGCGUGGUGUAGCGGUGAAAUGCAUAGAUAUCACGCAGAACCCCGAUUGCGAAGGCAGCCUUCCGGCGCCCUACUGACGCUGAGGCACGAAAGUGCGGGGAUCGAACAGGAUUAGAUACCCUGGUAGUCCGCACAGUAAACGAUGGAUGCCAGCUGUCCGGGCCGAAUGGGGCCUGG
rnacentral:rRNA from 1 species